GACGAACGCUGGCGGCGUGCCUAAUACAUGCAAGUCGAGCGAUGAAGCUUGGUGCUUGCUCCACUUUCGAGAGCAGCGAACGGGUGAGUAACGCGUGGGUAAUCUGCCUUUGAGCGUGGGACAACUUUUGGAAACGAAUGCUAAUACCGCAUAAUAUCUUUAAACAUAUGGUUUAAUUGUGAAAGAUGCAAUUGCUUCACCUAAUGAAUAUCUCGCGUUCGAUUAGCUAGUUGGGUAAGUAAAGGCCCUACAAGGCGAUCAUACCUAGCCGACCUGAGAGGGGGGUCGGCCAAAAUGGGAAUGAGACCAGGCCCAAAAUCCUAAGGGAAGGAGCCAUAAGGAAUCCUCGGCAAUGGACGAAAGGCUGACCGAACAACGGCGGGGGAGGGAAUGAAGGUUUCCGAUCCUAAAAAUCUGUUGGUAGGGAAGAACGUUAGGGGGAGGGGAAAGCGCAUCAAGUGACGGUAACUACCCAGAAAGCGACGGCUAACUACGUG
rnacentral:rRNA from 1 species